rnacentral:rRNA from 1 species
AUUGAACGCUGGCGGCAUGCUUUACACAUGCAAGUCGAACGGCAGCACGGGUGCUUGCACCUGGUGGCGAGUGGCGGACGGGUGAGUAAUACAUCGGAACGUAUCCAGAAGAGGGGGAUAACGCAUCGAAAGAUGUGCUAAUACCGCAUAUUCUCUGAGGAGGAAAGCAGGGGAUCGAAAGACCUUGCGCUUUGGGAGCGGCCGAUGUCUGAUUAGCUAGUUGUGGGGUAAAGGCCUACCAAGGCGACGAUCAGUAGUUGGUCUGAGAGGACGACCAGCCACACUGGGACUGAGACACGGCCCAGACUCCUACGGGAGGCAGCAGUGGGGAAUUUUGGGACAAUGGGCGCAAGCCUGAUCCAACAAUGCCGCGUGAGUGAAGAAGG